AGGGUUUGAUUCUGGCUCAGAAGGAACGCUGGCAGCGUGCAUAACACAUGCAAGUCGAACGAUGAAGCAUUCUUCGGAAUGUGGAAGAGUGGCGAACGGGUGAGGAACACGUAAGAAUCUGCCCCUCGGUCGGGGACAACUUUUGGAAACGAAAGCUAAUACCCGAUACGCUGUGGAGUGAAAGAAUUUCGCCGAGGGAUGAUCUUGCGUCUGAUUAGCUAGUUGGUGCGGUAAUGGCGCACCAAGGCGACGAUCAGUAGCUGGUCUGAGAGGAUGAACAGCCACAUUGGAACUGAGACACGGUCCAAACUCCUACGGGAGGCAGCAGUGGGGAAUAUUGCGCAAUGGGGGAAACCCUGACGCAGCAACGCCGCGUGAUUGAAGAAGGCCUUCGGGUUGUAAAGAUCUUUAAUUCGGGACGAAUUUUGACGGUACCGAAAGAAUAAGCUCCGGCUAACUACGUGCCAGCC
rnacentral:rRNA from 1 species